rnacentral:lncRNA from 1 species
AUUAUAUGUAAGUACACUGUAGCUGCCUUCAGAUGUGCCAGAAGAGGACAUCAGAUCUCAUUACAGAUAUUUGUGAACCACCAUGUGGUUGCUGGGAUUUGAACUCAGGACCUUUGGAAGAGCAGUCAGUGCUCUUAACUGCUGAGCCAUCUCUCCAGCCCCAGAAGAAUUUUUAUAGCUUAAUUAUUUUCAUGCUUUUGUAUGUGAUAAUUUACCAUGCUUACAUUGAAAAACCAAAAGCAAUGAGAUGAACUGAAGUAGAUUUAGAUUGGUUUCAGCAGUUGCUGUCAAGAAUCCCCUACAUACAUGAAAAUGCUUAUACAACCAUCUUAACAAUCCAAAACCACAAAGGAGGCUACAAUGAAAGCAAAGGGAAAACUUUUAAUUAAACAAAGGGGGCCAGAUAUGGUGUUGCACACCUUUAAUUCCAAUACUUGGGAGAUGGAAGUAGGUGGAGCUCUGUGAGUUCAAAGCCAGACUGUUUUACAUAGUGAGAUCCUGUCUGAACCUCCAUCCUCUAAAAAGGCCAAUGAAAUGGAGAGAUGUCUGCAGCCAAGCCUGAUGACCUAAGGUCUAUCUAUCUCCAGGACCCACAUGGGAGAAGGAGAGAACAGAUUCCCAUAAAUUAUCCUCCAACCUACACACACACACACACACACACACACACAAAUAGAUAAAUAAAUAAAUAAAUAAAUAAAGGACUUCUUUUUUUUUUUUUUUUUUUUUUUUCAGACUGAGAGAUCCAGUUGUUCUACGUGAGGUAAGGAGUUUGGAGUUUUUAACAAGAAAAGGGGAACAUAGUAUAUUCAGCUCAGCUGAUUUAUAGGAAAAACUGAGAAAGUACAGCUAUUUGGAAAGUUGACACUAAUCAGCAUAAUGAUAAAAUUUGAAAAUGUACUUCAGUGUUCAGAGAAGGACCAUAACUGAACAGAGUUGCCUGGCAAAUGUCUACAGAAACAUUCGUGUGCAAUUUCCUUUUUUUUUUUCUUGCAGAUUUUCAUGACAGUUAUACUAGUUUUCCAUCACUGUGACAAAAUACCCUAGAAAAAGUGAGCUGGGCAGUGGUGGCGCACACCUUUAAUCCCAGCACUUGGGAGGCAGAGGCAGGCAGAUAUCUGAGGCCAGCCUGGUCUACAGAGUGAGUUCCAGGACAGCCAGGGCUAUACAGAGAAACCCUGUCCAAACAAAAAAAAAAAAAGAGAAAAAGUGUAGAAAUAAAUAUUAAUAUCCUUGGCAGGUUUGCUACCUGCCCCAAUGGUUUAAUGUUCCCGAAUGAAAGAUACAUAUAGCCUUUAUAUUUUAAUAUGGGUUAAACAAUAGAAUAGCUGGGCCACUGCCUGACCUCCAUGGGGUUAAUUCCAAGUUAUUCUCUGUUUCAUGUUGGCUGCUCUGGACCUCCCUCUCCCUCCCUGCUCCUUCCCAUGGUGGCUGUGCCUCUCUGUCCUGCGGUCUUUUCAGGCAUGUUGUCUCUCCUCCAUCCUCCCCUUGGUGAUGUCCCUUUCUCCUCCUCCCAGUUCCAAUGUGGCCCCUUUGUCCUUUCCAGUUAUUGGCUGUUGGCAUCUCUAUUUACCAGUCAGAACCAACUGGGGGCAGGUUCCUAGAAGCUAUGUACAGACAUUCUUUUGUAAGCAGUUUUUUGGGGGAACAUAAUUAGCAUCUGUAAUACAAACAGCUAUAAAAAGGGCCCAUUUGACUCGGUUUCAGGUGUUUUAACCCAUUUCCACUUGGACAUCUGAUAAAGCAGAGUACGCUGCUUCCCCAGUGAUGACCAGCCAGCAAAGGACAGCAGAACAACAAAAUAUAGCCCUACUUUUAAAAAACUAGAUCCUACUUCCCAAUUAUUAUCUGUUCCCAAUAGCCCAUCAAAUUAUGAACCUGUGAAUGGAUUAAUCCGUUACUUAGUUCAGAACUGUUGUGAUUCCAUCAUGUCUAAAGUGCCUUCUUGUUGCUCCUACUAUGGGUUUUGACAAGUAUAUACUGUCCUGUAUCUACCCUUACAGUGUUGUAGAGAACAGCUUAACUACCCUGCAAAUCCCUUGUACUCUGUCUUCUACUCCUCCCCUGUCUACCCAAAGAACUGUUUAUACCUUUACUGCCUCUGCUGUCAUCCCAGGCAGCUGGUGCUUCCUCAGACUGGCUCCUCUCAAUUAGCAA